AGCGAACGCUGGCGGCAGGCCUAACACAUGCAAGUCGAACGAACCUUUCGGGGUUAGUGGCGGACGGGUGAGUAACACGUGGGAACGUGCCUUUAGGUUCGGAAUAACUCAGGGAAACUUGUGCUAAUACCGAAUGUGCCCUUCGGGGGAAAGAUUUAUCGCCUUUAGAGCGGCCCGCGUCUGAUUAGCUAGUUGGUUGAGGUAAUGGCUCACCAAGGCGACGAUCAGUAGCUGGUCUGAGAGGAUGAUCAGCCACAUUGGCACUGAGACACGGCCCAAACUCCUACGGGAGGCAGCAGUGGGGAAUCUUGCGCAAUGGGCGAAAGCCUGACGCAGCCAUGCCGCGUGAAUGAUGAAGGUCUUAGGAUUGUAAAAUUCUUUCACCGGGGACGAUAAUGACGGUACCCGGAGAAGAAGCCCCGGCUAACUUCGUG
rnacentral:rRNA from 1 species